AUGGCGACUCUUCUGUCUUUUCGCCUCCGUUCGCGCUUCGAUGAAAAUCCCAAACACGACAGUUUCCUCUCACCGAACAUGGCAAUGAACACUUCUCCCCAAUCAGGAUUCAUAAACCUUUCCAAAGCUUUUCCAUACGCUUCAUGUGAAAUGUCUUCCAUCUCAUCCAGAACACUUACACACUUAGUAAGAGAGCAAUCUGAUGUUACAUGUGAAGUAGUCUCUACACUCCUAUCCCUAUACCUUCAUGUAGAUCAUCGUCUAAACUAUCAUUAUCAAUACGUACAUGACGUGCACUCCCAUUGUUAA